UACGUAGGGGGCUGGCGUUAUCCGGAAUUACUGGGCGUAAAGGGUGCGUAGGCGGUCUUUCAAGCCAGAAGUGAAAGGCUACGGCUCAACCGUAGUAAGCCUUUGAAACUGGGAAACUUGAGUGCAGGAGAGGAGAGUGGAAUUCCUAGUGUAGCGGUGAAAUGCGUAGAUAUUAGGAGGAACACCAGUUGCGAAGGCGGCUCUCUGGACUGUAACUGACACUGAGGCACGAAAGCGUGCGGAGCAAACAGGAUUAGAUACCCUGGUAGUCCCU
rnacentral:rRNA from 1 species